UACGUAGGGGGCAAGCGUUGUCCGGAAUCAUUGGGCGUAAAGCGCGUGUAGGCGGUCCGGUAAGUCGGCUGUGAAAGUCCAGGGCUCAACCCUGGGAUGCCGGUCGAUACUGCCGGACUAGAGUUCGGAAGAGCGAGUGGAAUUCCCGGUGUAGCGGUGAAAUGCGCAGAUAUCGGGAGGAACACCAAUGGCGAAGGCAGCUCGCUGGGACG
rnacentral:rRNA from 1 species